rnacentral:sRNA from 1 species
GAGCAACCUAAUGAUGGCUGUUGUAAUCUUCUCUGUUGUAACCAUCAUUGUUGUCAUAAUCACUAUAUAUGAACUAGUUCAGAAAUGCAAAUGAGGUCGAUGCAAAAGUGGUGGUCCAUGAGUUAUGGUUAAGAAGUAUGAAGAGAAUUAGAUAUGUUUUCACCCAAAGAGCUUCGGCAUAUUGAGGAGAAUUGUGAUUAUAUCUUCAAUCUACACAUAUCAAUAAAGGUUUCGAAUCAGUAUUUCAAA